AGCAGUGGGNNAUAUUGCACAAUGGGCGGAAGCCUGAUGCAGCAACGCCGCGUGAGGGAUGACGGCCUUCGGGUUGUAAACCUCNUUUAGCAGGGAAGAAGCGAGAGUGACGGUACCUGCAGAAAAAGCGCCGGCUAACUACGUGCCAGCAGCCGCGGUAAUACGUAGGGCGCAAGCGUUAUCCGGAAUUAUUGGGCGUAAAGAGCUCGUAGGCGGUUUGUCGCGUCUGCUGUGAAAUCCCGAGGCUCAACCUCGGGCCUGCAGUGGGUACGGGCAGACUAGAGUGCGGUAGGGGAGAUUGGAAUUCCUGGUGUAGCGGUGGAAUGCGCAGAUAUCAGGAGGAACACCGAUGGCGAAGGCAGAUCUCUGGGCCGUAACUGACGCUGAGGAGCGAAAGGGUGGGGAGCAAACAGGCUUAGAUACCCUGGUAGUCCACCCCGUAAACGUUGGGAACUAGUUGUGGGGACCAUUCCACGGUUUCCGUGACGCAGCUAACGCAUUAAGUUCCCCGCCUGGGGAGUACGGCCGCAAGGCUAAAACUCAAAGGAAUUGACGGGGACCCGCACAAGCGGCGGAGCAUGCGGAUUAAUUCGAUGCAACGCGAAGAACCUUACCAAGGCUUGACAUAUACGAGAACGGGCCAGAAAUGGUCAACUCUUUGGACACUCCUAAACAGGUGGUGCAUGGUUGUCGUCAGCUCGUGUCGUGAGAUGUUGGGUUAAGUCCCGCAACGAGCGCAACCCUCGUUCUAUGUUGCCAGCACGUAAUGGUGGGAACUCAUGGGAUACUGCCGGGGUCAACUCGGAGGA
rnacentral:rRNA from 1 species